CCACUGAGAAGAGUAGUGGCGAACGGGUGGAGUAACACGUGGGUAACCUGCCCAUAAGAGGGGGAGUAACAAUCCGGAAACGGGUGCUAAUACCGCAUAGUUUCUUGAUCGCAUGAUCGGGAAAGGAAAGACGGCCUUUGUGCUGUCGCUUAUGGAUGGACCCGCGGCGUAUUAGUUAGUUGGUGAGGUAACGGCUCACCAAGACGAUGAUACGUAGUCGACCUGAGAGGGUGAUCGGCCACAUUGGGACUGAGACACGGCCCAAACUCCUGCGGGAGGCAGCAGUAGGGAAUCUUCCGCAAUGGACGAAAGUCUGACGGAGCAACGCCGCGUGAGUGAAGAAAAGGUUUUCGGAUCGUAAAACUCUGUUGUCAGAGAAGAACAAGUUGGAGAGUAACUGCUCCAGCCUUGACGGUAUCUGACCAGAAAGCCACGGCUAACUACGUGCCAGCCGCAGC
rnacentral:rRNA from 1 species